UGGGGAAUUUUGGACAAUGGGCGAAAGCCUGAUCCAGCAAUGCCGCGUGUGUGAAGAAGGCCUUCGGGUUGUAAAGCACUUUUGUCCGGAAAGAAAUCCUUGGCUCUAAUACAGUCGGGGGAUGACGGUACCGGAAGAAUAAGCACCGGCUAACUACGUGCCAGCAGCCGCGGUAAUACGUAGGGUGCAAGCGUUAAUCGGAAUUACUGGGCGUAAAGCGCGCGCAGGCGGUUUGCUAAGACCGAUGUGAAAUCCCCGGGCUCAACCUGGGAACUGCAUUGGUGACUGGCAGGCUAGAGUAUGGCAGAGGGGGGUAGAAUUCCACGUGUAGCAGUGAAAUGCGUAGAGAUGUGGAGGAAUACCGAUGGCGAAGGCAGCCCCCUGGGCCAAUACUGACGCUCAUGCACGAAAGCGUGGGGAGCAAACAGGAUUAGAUACCCUGGUAGUCCACGCCCUAAACGAUGUCAACUAGUUGUUGGGGAUUCAUUUCCUUAGUAACGUAGCUAACGCGUGAAGUUGACCGCCUGGGGAGUACGUCGCAAGAUUAAAACUC
rnacentral:rRNA from 1 species